rnacentral:lncRNA from 1 species
CAAAAUCUCUUGAUUUAAAUUUAUGGAAUCCUUUAGUAGUUUAUCUAUCCAGUCGGACACCAUCUAUAAAGUCACACAUUAAGUAGGUUUGUCGAUGAAUAUAAGCGAAUCAUCUAAGCAAAUUCUUAAGGUCAUACUGUGGUAAUACGGUUAAACCUUAAAGAAAAAAAAUAAUAUGAGGUCAUACUGUGGUAAUACGGUUAAACCUUGAAAAAAAAUAUUUAUAUGAUUGCUAAUACAAAAAUUUGUAUCAUCAAAAUUUGUAUCAUCAAGCUAUUUGCGAGUUGAAAAAUAUGAACAAAGACGCUAACCGGCUUUCUUACCAUGUGUGUGACAUAGAUAAAGGGUCUUAAUGUGACUGUCUAGAAUGAAAAAGGAUGAAACAAAGAAGAAGAUUUAGAUUUUAGUACAACGGCAUGAUCCAAAUUCGAUAUGUAUAAGAGGGAGAACUUUGUGUGUCGUUGAAAUACCCUUCUUGAUUGUGUAAAGAACCUAACUAAUUAANNNNNNNNNNNNNNNNNNNNNNNNNNNNNNNNUCUUAGCCGAUUUGAAUUUCUGACCACGUAUGAGUACUUGUGAUGUUAUUUUUCUCUAAGUCUGUGUGUGUGAGUUGCUUCGCAUUUCAAAUGUUUUCUAUAUGCAAGCUAAAUUUCUUGAG